UGUUGAUGUUGAAUUUUUACAGAGGUUCGUUUCUCUUCUGCUUUAUUUUUCCUUUUUGUUUCUUGGCCGAAUGAUUACUUUGUGAUAAGUUGGGAAAUUUCAGCUUAAUUCUGAGAUCAAUUCUGUGUGUGCGCGCGCGCGCGCGCGUAUGUAUGUAUUUAUGUAUUUUCCCUUACUAGACUUUGUAUCGGUGAUCGGAUUGGGAAUUAGGUGAAUUUAGUUCUCUUGUAUCUGAGGAUGCUGAACUGUGUUCUGAAAAUGCUAUACUUAAGCUUCUUCUUUUUUCUUUUUUAAGAAAAAACAAUUUUUUCCCUUUGAUUUUCCCCCCUUUAAAAAGCCUUUGCUUUCCUUUAUAUCUUAAUUUUCUGGAAAUGGAAAAUUUCUUUUAAGUGAACCUUAAUGGUGUCCGGUGUUUUUCUUUUUGUCCACAAAUAGUAAGUAAUUUGCGAUUUAGUAAUUCUAUUUUAUUUCCUUUUUCCAAUUUUUUCUCAGCAACCAAACAGGGCAUUUGUGUUUGGUCGUUGGUGGGUAAGCUAAUGGCUCUUCUAUGGUCCUUUUAACUUGUUAAAAAACUCGUUUUAUUUAGCAUGUAUACCCUUUUAGGUUGCCAAUUUAACUAGAAAGUGCCUACCUUUGUUGCAACGAAGGAUCACAAUUUUUGGGUUUAUGCUUUCUUCAACUAAAUGACUUCUUCUUCUUCAUUCUUUUUUAUUUUUUUCAAAAAUAUUUUUUCACAAGACUAUGUUUCCUCGUAUUGUAUUGCUGAAAAGUACCUGUUCUCUUCCACUGUUCUAGUAUUUUACAAUUUUAUAUAUCGAAGUUUCUGUUCAGCUCCAUGACUUAUCCAAUUUGAAGAUAUUGACCUUUGAGUCCUCUACAGAAGAAGGGCAAUGAACCCUGGA
rnacentral:misc_RNA from 1 species